rnacentral:rRNA from 1 species
AUGGUCAAGCUACAAAGGGCGCAGGGCGAAUGCCUUGGCAUCAGGAGCCGACGAAAGACGUGGUAAGCUGCGAAAAGCUACGGGGAGCCGCAAGCAGGCAUUGAUCCGUAGAUAUCUGAAUGGAGCAAUCCACCGGGAGUCAUGUCCCGGUAUCCUAUGGUGAAUCAAAUAGCCAUAGGAGGGGAACCGCCUGAACUGAAACAUCUAAGUAGGGCGAGGAAAAGAAAUCAACCGAGAUUCUGUGAGUAGUGGUGAGCGAAAGCGGAAGAGGCUAAACCGGAAGUAGAAAUACUUUCGGGGUUACGGACUGCAUUUAGCAUUCACGAGUUUUAACCGAAAUGUAUGGGAAGGCAUACCGAAGACGGUGAGAGUCCGGUAGGUGAAAAGACGAGUGAGCGAGCAGGAUCCAGAGUACCGCGGAGCACGUGGAAUUCCGUGGGAAGUUAGGGGGACCACCCUCUAAGCCUAAAUACUACCUGAUGACCGAUAGCGAAUAGUACUGUGAAGGAAAGGUGAAAAGCACCCCGGGAGGGGAGUGAAAAAGAACCUGAAACCCUGUGCCUACAAGCACAUAGAGCACGUCAAGGUGUGAUAUGGUACCUAUUGUAGAAUGGUCCGGCGAGUAUAUGUCAGUAGCAAGGUUAAGGGCUGAAGGCCUGGAGCCGAAGGGAAACCGAGUCUGAAUAGGGCGGCAAAGUUGCUGGUAUAUGACCCGAAACCGGGUGACCUAUCCAUGGUCAGGUUGAAGUGGGAGUAAAAUCCCAUGGAGGACCGAACCGACCUCCGUUGAAAAGGCGGCGGAUGAACUGUGGAUAGCGGAGAAAUUCCAAUCGAACCCGGAUAUAGCUGGUUCUCCUCGAAAUAGCUUUAGGGCUAGCCUCAUGACAGAUUCUCGGAGGUAAAGCACUGAAUGGGCUAGGGGUCGAAAGAUUACCGAACCCUAUCAAACUCUGAAUGCCGAAGAAUCGAUUCAUGGGAGUCAGACUAUGUGAGAUAAGUUUCAUGGUCAAAAGGGAAAGAGCCCAGACCCACAGCUAAGGUCCCAAAGUACAUUUAAGUGGGAAAGGAUGUGGAACUGCUAAAACAACCAGGAUGUUGGCUUAGAAGCAGCCAUACAUUUAAAGAGUGCGUAAUAGCUCACUGGUCGAGUGGUUCUGCGCCGAAAAUGUAACGGGGCUAAAAUGUACACCGAAGCUUGGGCUGCAGUUCACUGAACAAAACAAAUCCAAAUGGGAGAUAUUCCCGCCGGAAGGCGAGGAAAAUACUUUCAUACAUGCAGGCAUUGAAAAAGGAAAGAAACUGUUGAUGCGGUAAAACGCAGGCGGGUAAAUUUCUUUUAGGCUAAAAUGUAUGUAGGAGCAAGUCUCUGCAAAUGGGUAGGUUUUGUUCAGUGAAUUGCGGGGUAGAGGAGCGUCGUAUACGGGGAGAAGCGAUAGCGGAAGCGGUCGUGGACUGUAUACGAGUGAGAAUGCCGGAAUGAGUAGCGCGAAUUAUGUGAGAAUCAUAAUGGCCGAAAAUCUAAGGUUUUAGGAGGAAGGUUCGUCCGCUCCUAGUAAGCCGGGAGCUAAGGUGAGGCCUAACGGCGUAGCCGAUGCACAUACGGUAGAAAUUCCGUAGCCUCCAAAAGAUUUAAGCACAGGGACAUCCGAAAAGGGACUGAGCCGGGCGAUGGUAGACCCGGUCGAAAGGGAGCAGCUUGCUGCGAAGCAGUCUUGGAUUGGGGCGAGAAAAGCUGUGUGUAUAUUUGAGGAGCCCGUACCGCAAACCGACACAGGUAGAUAGGAAGAGGAUUCUAAGGCCAACGGGAGAAGGGUUGUUAAGGAACUCGGCAAGUUGACCCCGUAACUUCGGGAUAAGGGGUGCUCAUGAAAGUGAGCCGCAGAGAAUAGGCCCAGGCAACUGUUUAGCAAAAACACAGGUCUCUGCUAAAUCGAAAGAUGACGUAUAGGGGCUGACACCUGCCCGGUGCCGGAAGGUUAAGAGGAGGAGUGAGAGCUCCGAAUUGAAGCCCCGGUAAACGGCGGCCGUAACUAUAACGGUCCUAAGGUAGCGAAAUUCCUUGUCAGGUAAGUUCUGACCCGCACGAAUGGUGUAAUGAUCUGGGCACUGUCUCGACAACCCGCCCGGCGAAAUUGUAGUACCGGUGAAGAUGCCGGUUACCCGCGACUAGACGGAAAGACCCCAUGGAGCUUUACUGUAGCUUAAUAUUGGAUUUCGGUAUAUCAUGUACAGGAUAGGUGGGAGACUGGGAAACAGAGGCGUCAGCUUCUGCGGAGUCAACCUUGGGAUACCACUCUUGGUGUGCUGGAAUUCUAACCUGCGGCCGUGAAUCCGGUCGGGGGACAUUGUUAGGUGGGCAGUUUGACUGGGGCGGUCGCCUCCAAAAGAGUAACGGAGGCGCUCAAAGGUUCGCUCAGCAUGGACGGAAACCAUGCUAUAGAGUGUAAACGCAUAAGCGAGCCUAACUGCGAGACCGACGGGUCGAGCAGUAACGAAAGUUGGAGUUAGUGAUCCGGCGGUAUGUGAGUGGAAAUGCCGUCGCUUAACGGAUAAAAGCUACCCUGGGGAUAACAGGCUGAUCUCCCCCAAGAGUUCACAUCGACGGGGAGGUUUGGCACCUCGAUGUCGGCUCAUCGCAUCCUGGGGCUGAAUUCGGUCCCAAGGGUUUGGCUGUUCGCCAAUUAAAGCGGUACGCGAGCUGGGUUCAGAACGUCGUGAGACAGUUCGGUCCCUAUCUGUCGUGGGCGAAGGAUAUUUGAAAGGAGCUGUCCCUAGUACGAGAGGACCGGGAUGGACGCACCUCUGGUGCACCAGUUGUCACGCCAGUGGCACAGCUGGGCAGCUAUGUGCGGAACGGAUAAACGCUGAAGGCAUCUAAGCGUGAAGCCGGCCUUAAGAUAAGAUAUCCCACUGAGUAAUCAGGUAAGACCCCUUGAAGACUACAAGGUUGAUAGGCUCAAAGUGUAAGCGUCGUGAGGCGUUAAGCUAGCGAGUACUAAUCGGUCGAGGGCUUGACCAUAA